AGAGUUUGAUCCUGGCUCAGAUUGAACGCUGGCGGCAGGCCUAACACAUGCAAGUCGAGCGGUAACAGAUCCAGCUUGCUGGAUGCUGACGAGCGGCGGACGGGUGAGUAACGCAUAGGAAUUUACCCGAUAGUGGGGGAUAACCUGGGGAAACUCAGGCUAAUACCGCAUACGUCCUACGGGAGAAAGGGGGCUCCGGCUCCCGCUAUCGGAUGAGCCUAUGCCGGAUUAGCUGGUUGGUGAGGUAAUGGCUCACCAAGGCGACGAUCCGUAGCUGGUCUGAGAGGAUGAUCAGCCACAUCGGGACUGAGACACGGCCCGAACUCCUACGGGAGGCAGCAGUGGGGAAUAUUGGACAAUGGGGGCAACCCUGAUCCAGCCAUGCCGCGUGUGUGAAGAAGGCCCUCGGGUUGUAAAGCACUUUCAGCGAGGAAGAACGCCUGGCGGUUAAUACCCGCCAGGAAAGACAUCACUCGCAGAAGAAGCACCGGCUAACUCCGUGCCAGCAGCCGCGGUAAUACGGAGGGUGCAAGCGUUAAUCGGAAUUACUGGGCGUAAAGCGCGCGUAGGUGGCUUGAUAAGCCGGUUGUGAAAGCCCCGGGCUCAACCUGGGAACGGCAUCCGGAACUGUCAGGCUAGAGUGCAGGAGAGGAAGGUAGAAUUCCCGGUGUAGCGGUGAAAUGCGUAGAGAUCGGGAGGAAUACCAGUGGCGAAGGCGGCCUUCUGGACUGACACUGACACUGAGGUGCGAAAGCGUGGGUAGCAAACAGGAUUAGAUACCCUGGUAGUCCACGCCGUAAACGAUGUCGAC
rnacentral:rRNA from 1 species